GCAAAUUAACCUACGAUAUCUUUCUUGGUCUUCAAACUACUACUGUAGUUUGAAGUGCUUGUUUCCAAUUUAAAAAGUCGAACUUAUUACUUAUAUCAAACUUCUUUCCUCCUAAAAACAGCCUCUCCAGUUCAGCGUCUCCCAAACCCACCAAGCGAAAAAUGAGCUGAGAAAACAACCCGAGAAAUCUAAUGCAAUUCAUAAAGAGCGCAGAAGACAGUUGCAAAUGCAACCUAAGGAAAUGACUUUCUUGUGGCUGAUCGCACAGUCAACCAAAUGUAUUACUAUUAUUAUGGGUCGUCGCCCUGACAGUCAGAUGUUGAGACUGGAUUUGGCGCUUUUAUUCACCUAGCGAUUUUAUCCCAGGGACCUGUUUGAUGGUAUUGAAAAAGAAGAAACCAGCAUGGUAUUAAAGGUGUCUCGAGAGGUUUCCUAGCAUUUGAGUUCUUCACCAAGGUCUCCACCCAAAAGGCAUUAGAAGUUGUGAGAAAUUCAUUACAAGUUUUUCAAAUGUAUGCCUGACAUCAUCUUGAAGGGCAGCAACCACAGCAAAAAAUAUCUCUGGGAAGAAAGUGCGAAUAUAAACAGCUGCCUUUGCGAUGGGGUUUGCCAUGAACACUUCCUG